GCACCACACAUAAAUUCUAAUAUAUAUAUAUUUUUGACAGAAACCCCACCCAGCCUAAUCCAAGAUGGCGGCAGUGACAUACAACUCUGAGUUUUUUGGGUUUUCUUGCUGGAUGACAGAUGAUGAAAUUCAACCUCAAAAGUGUCAGGUAAAUGAUGUAUUGCGGAAGGAAUCCCAGGGGGCCGAAGCAAGGGUAACAAGAAAAGGGGGAGCCUGGAUUCAUUGUGCUUCCGGGGAUUUUCUUAUAUUUCUUGUAAUUUUUAAGCCUAAUAUGUAUCUGAAAAAUUAGGGGCCCAGGGCAUGCUGAGCCAAACCCUAGAUCCGCCACUGCAGAUGUAAGUAUGUUAAUGCUAUGCAAUGUGAAUACUAGGGAUUGCCUUUUGACAAUUUUGCACACUACCAGCCCUGCUUGCUAUUAGGUUUGAUAAAUGGAUGGUUUAUUUUAUACAACAUUAAAAUCAAAACAAAAAGUCCUAACCCCAAGAACUAUGUAAUACUACUAAAAAUUAAUUCCUGUACCUGAACAAUGAUCCCUUUACCAGAAUAUUCGUCAUGCAGACAACAGCUAAAGAAAUCCACAAAUGCCUGCAAAACAACAAGAAAGGUUUGUAUACAAAAAAAGAGAACACCAUACUUAGGAAGUGGUGAAGAGGGUAAACUACUGUAUUUCUUACUUUGCAGGACGAGUAAACAGAAAGCAAGGGCCUUGGUUCUAAGCCAGCUCCAGAGGACAAAUUAAGUACCAGCCCCUUCCCCCUAGAAGACAAAAAUUAGUGAUGAGAGUACUUACAGUAAGACCUUAGUACAGUAAAACAAGAUGAUGGCGCUAUUGGUGAUAAUUGUAAAACAUUCCCAAAAAGUUUAUAUUCUUUAUUGAUAAUCUAGUGACCAGGAACUCACACAAAAAAAUACAGAUAAGCCACAAAGAAAAAAUACACAUAAACCACAUUUAGGGGGAAUGUGUGACACAGGAGGAGCAGAGUUUGAUGGGCUACUGUACAUUCUGAUAACAAACCAUAAAAUUCCUUCUAAACUGGUCUAAAAACAUGCUAAAACAUGGUCUCAGUGUUUAAUUAGAAAACCCUUUCAAAUUAUUUUGUGUUAUCUGAGCUACAACCCCGCUGCACACGAAAAAUAAAUAACUUGCAACUUGACGAGGACAAACAGUCCCCAAUAAAUAACCUGCAAAUUGACCAGGACAAACAGUCCCCAAUAAAUAACCUGCAACUUGAUCAAGACAAACAGUCCCCAAUAAAUAACCAGCAACUUGACCAAGACAAACAGUCCCCAAUAAAUAACUUGCAACUUGACCAGGACAAACAGUCCCCAAUAAAUAACCUGCAAAUUGACCAGGACAAACAGUCCCCAAUAAAUAACCUACAACUUGACCAGGACAAACAGUCCCCAAUAAAUAACCUGCAACUUGACCAAGACAAACAGUCCCCAAUAAAUAACCUGCAACUUGACCAGGACAAACAGUCCCCGAUAAAUAACUUGCCCAAGACAAACAGUCCCCAAAAAAUAACUUGCAACUUGACCAGGUUUUCCAAGUAAACACAGAGAAUGUAGGGGGAAUAAUUAGUUAAGAAUUUAGCCAGAAAUACUCUGUUAUUGCCCUUGCCCAACAAACUCUGUCCUACUCUCUUUGCCUUUACCUUGACACCAUUCCAGGAAGAAUUAUAUGGGUCAUCUGUCAUGAAAUCAAAAUAGUAUUAGCAUAUGUAACAUUUAUGGCCUUAUUUAGAGGCACUGAUUCAGCAAAUGAACAUUAAUCAUGUUAAAUCUCUAUGGGUCUAUAAUUGGUAUGUACUGUAUUUCUAUUUUUUUCCAUUUAUCAAUCCUCUAGCAACUUACCAUGAUAACAGAUAAGUCAUUAACAUUUAUCAUCUUCCAACAAUCCUGUAGAAAAAAAUUAGGAGAGUCAAACAUUUCUAAUACAAAAAAAGAUUUUUGAAUAUAUAAAGUUGUCAAGCUUUUACCUCUCUUUUCAUAUUUGUAAAGAACUCUGGAUAGUGAGAAACACCAACAUUGUUUACUGAAAUGAAAAAUGGAAAUGUUCCAUAUAGAAAGUAACACCAAAAGGUGUUAAAAAUGUUGUUUCAUUAAAUGCCCUAUAAACAAGGAACCUGUAAAUAAUUUAUUUUUCAAUGUAGUGCAAUGUAUAAGCUACACUUACACCCGAUAGAAACACUGUAGGAACUUAAAGAAAUGCAACACAUCACAGCCCAAGAGCCAAAAUUAUUAGGGUGAUUAAAUGCAUUUGUAUACU